rnacentral:rRNA from 1 species
GACGAACGCUGGCGGCGUGCCUAAUACAUGCCAGUUGAGCGCUGAAGGUUGGUCCUUGUACCAACUGGAUGAGCAGCGAACGGGUGAGUAACGCGUGGGGAAUCUGCCUUUGAGCGGGGGACAACAUUUGGAAACGAAUGCUAGUACCGCAUAAAAACUUUAAACACAAGUAUUAAGUUUGAAAGAUGCAAUUGCAUCACUCAAAGAUGAUCCCGCGUUGUAUUAGCUAGUUGGUGAGGUAAAGGCUCACCAAGGCGAUGAUACAUAGCCGACCUGAGAGGGUGAUCGGCCACAGUGGGACGGAGACACGGCCCAAACUCCUACGGGAGGCAGCAGUAGGGAAUCUUCGGCAAUGGACAAAAGUCUGACCGAGCAACGCCGCGUGAGUGAAGAAGGUUUUCGGAUCGUAAAACUCGGUUGGUAGAGAAGAACGUUGGUGAGAGUGGAAAGCUCAUCAAGUGACGGUAACUACCCAGAAAGGGACGGCCAACUACGUG